rnacentral:piRNA from 1 species
UGGUGUAGCUGCCUCACAUGAGGUUAUUGCU